AUUGAACGCUGGCGGCAUGCCUUACACAUGCAAGUCGAACGGUAACAGGUCUUCGGAUGCUGACGAGUGGCGAACGGGUGAGUAAUACAUCGGAACGUGCCCGCGAGUGGGGAUAACGAGGCGAAAGCUUUGCUAAUACCGCAUACGAUCUCAGGAUGAAAGCAGGGGACCGCAAGGCCUUGCGCCCACGGAGCGGCCGAUGGCAGAUUAGGUAGUUGGUGGGAUAAAAGCUUACCAAGCCGACGAUCUGUAGCUGGUCUGAGAGGACGACCAGCCACACUGGGACUGAGACACGGCCCAGACUCCUACGGGAGGCAGCAGUGGGGAAUUUUGGACAAUGGGCGCAAGCCUGAUCCAGCCAUGCCGCGUGCAGGAUGAAGGCCUUCGGGUUGUAAACUGCUUUUGUACGGAACGAAAAGACUCCUUCUAAUAAAGGGGGUCCAUGACGGUACCGUAAGAAUAAGCACCGGCUAACUACGUGCCAGCCGCCGCGGUAAUAC
rnacentral:rRNA from 1 species